rnacentral:rRNA from 1 species
AGAGUUUGAUCCUGGCUCAGGAUGAACGCUGGCGGCGUGCUUAACACAUGCAAGUCGAACGAAGCACUUUAACCUGAUUCUUCGGAUGAAGGUUUUUGUGACUGAGUGGCGGACGGGUGAGUAACGCGUGGGUAACCUGCCUCAUACAGGGGGAUAACAGUUAGAAAUGACUGCUAAUACCGCAUAAGCGCACAGUACCGCAUGGUACGGUGUGAAAAACUCCGGUGGUAUGAGAUGGACCCGCGUCUGAUUAGCUAGUUGGUGGGGUAACGGCCCACCAAGGCGACGAUCAGUAGCCGACCUGAGAGGGUGACCGGCCACAUUGGGACUGAGACACGGCCCAAACUCCUACGGGAGGCAGCAGUGGGGAAUAUUGCACAAUGGGGGAAACCCUGAUGCAGCGACGCCGCGUGAGCGAAGAAGUAUUUCGGUAUGUAAAGCUCUAUCAGCAGGGAAGAAAAUGACGGUACCUGACUAAGAAGCACCGGCUAAAUACGUGCCAGCAGCCGCGGUAAUACGUAUGGUGCAAGCGUUAUCCGGAUUUACUGGGUGUAAAGGGAGCGUAGACGGCUGUGUAAGUCUGAAGUGAAAGCCCGGGGCUCAACCCCGGGACUGCUUUGGAAACUAUGCAGCUAGAGUGUCGGAGAGGUAAGUGGAAUUCCCAGUGUAGCGGUGAAAUGCGUAGAUAUUGGGAGGAACACCAGUGGCGAAGGCGGCUUACUGGACGAUGACUGACGUUGAGGCUCGAAAGCGUGGGGAGCAAACAGGAUUAGAUACCCUGGUAGUCCACGCC